rnacentral:misc_RNA from 1 species
UAUAGUGAUUGAUAAAUAAUGCACAAAGUUGGAGACCAAUUACGUUGCUGCUGCUGAUUGGUUACCUGGCCAUGAAAAUGGAGGGGAUGGCCCAAGUAAUCAUUUUGUCCAAAAAUAAGUGAAUAUAAUGGAUAGGCUUCACCUUUUGGUGCAAACCACACACUAUAAAGCAAAAUAAAGUUAGUGAGGUCUUUAUAUUUCAUGAUUAAGAUGGUUUUUUU